AGUAAACGAUCUUGGAAACGGGAUUUGAAGGUUCCAAUAGCUUCGUAUGAUAAUUUCGGACUUGGGCGUAUGUACGGGCUAAGUAUAGGAUUGCCAGGGAGCAUCUCGGUGCUUACUAUAGAAAGUUGGCAUUCUGGAAGUUCUAGAAUUUCAUAAGUUUGGUUUGAAGUGGAUUUUGAUGUUAUCUAUGUCCGUUUGGAGUUUCGAGCCUUGGAAUAAGUUCGUAUCGUGAUUUGUGACUUGUGCGUAAAGUUUGGCGUCAUUCCGGAAUGUUUUGAUAUGAUUCGGACGUGUUUGUCGAAGUUUGAAAGUUGAAAGAAAGACUUUGAUCGUUGAUUCAUGAUUUUGAUAUUAUUCGUUGCGUUUCGAGCCUUUGGAUAAGUUUGUAUAAGGUAUUGAGACUUGUUGGUGUGAUUGGACGGGGUCCCGGGGGCCUCGGGUGAGAUUCAGGAUGGUUUCGGACCAAGUUUGGGUGUUUUGAUAUUGAUGGUUUCUAGUGUUUCUGGUAAGCAUCGUGAUCGCGGUUGAAGGGACGCGAUUACGAAGAGAAUCUGGGGAUGAAGAGGUUUUGUGCAUCGUGAACGCAGAGGGGAAGCUAAGGCAACCUACGCGAACGCGACAGGGAGGUUGCGAAUGCGUAGAAGAAAAAGAGGAUCUGGGCCUGGAGGUGCUAGGCCAUCGCGAGUGCGGCUCAAGGACUGCGAACGCAAAGGUGUGAGACGUGGAGGCAUCGCGAACGCGGAAAGGCCACCGCGAACGUGAAGAAGAGAUUUUGGGGGCAGGGCUGUUUGGCUUUCGCGAUCGUGAAGAGGAAGGAACUCGACAGUGGGUUUAAAAUUCGGGACUUAGCCCAUUUCUCUCACAUUUUCAUUUGGUUGAGUGAUUCUUAGAGCUCUUGGAGGGAAGAUUUCCAUCAUCUAUGUCAAGGAUCUGACAGGUCAUUUGGUGAUGACCCUUGCGCAUAGGCGCACCUGUUGAGGAGACUUUAUGUGAGUAGCAUUUCAGGCUACACAUCGCAGUCCACCGAGUCUCCAUUGUACUAAUUAUUUUACCCUGUCUUAUUACAUUCGGGACAGAUGUAUUAUUAUUGUACUCCUUAGAAAAAUGCUCAUGCACUUGUAACACUGGGUUUUGGGGGUUCCUGCAAGUUGUGCAUUAUUGUAGUUCGUGUAAAUAUUAUCAUUUACCCUGUAAAUUCUAUUUUUUCAUACUAUUUAAUUAAUAAAAAUUAUGAUUUCAACAUUCUAAAAUGAGUAAUUAAAUUGAUAAAUCAAUACUGGCUUGCCUGACGAUGGCGUUUGGCGCCAUCACGACCUAUAGUGGAUUUUUAGCCGUGACAAUUUUAUCUUACGAUUGGAAUUUUUAUUAGUCAUUGGUGAUUAAGUUGGUACUCUAAGGCUGCUGAUGGUAAUAUUUCUCCUUAUAGACUGAAACUUAUACGGACUACUUGGGAAAAGGUUGAAUAUUUAUGAUACCAAUUUGCCCUUAAUAUAUACAGCGUCAGGUUUUCUUGUCGUAUGGCAGCAGUUUGGGAUUUCUGCUAGGUCAAUGUCUGACACAAGAUAUUGGAGGUUGGGUGUACCUCUUCAUCUAACGUGUUAUGCUAACAUCAUAGUCUUAUAGCUUCUUCGUGCGCGGAAGAUUCAACUAAUAGAGAGACAUUUAGCUUGAUUUCAUUAUUAAUUGUUUUUAGCUAGAUGUAUGGUAUUUGAAUAUGGUAUUAAAUUUAAAUAUUUCUUGCUAGGAAGCAAGGUCUAUACAUCUAGAACUUCCUUAAUAAGUUUUUUUUAUUGAUAACCUCAUUCAGAACUUUCUCUACAGAUAAAGAAGUGGUUUCUUUAAUUUAAAAAUAGUAAAUACAUUAAAUAUUUAGUUUGGUCGAUAACUCAUACUUUAAACCUCUUUGGCAGAUGACAAUGCAUGAUUCUCUAUAAUUUGUUCUUGAUGAAGCAGUAUCUAGGAUCCUAUGGUAUUUUUGUUGGAGUAAGAGGUACAAUUGAAGCUCUAAAGUUUCUCAAAAUGUUCGGCAUCUCCAAUAUUUUCUUCUUAAAAAUAUUGAUUAGCAACCAGAUUUUCUUAAAAACAGAAAAGAAAUUCUGUUAACUCAGGUUGGUAAGUACCAUAUAGCCUUUGAAAUUUGAAAUCUUACACUUUAUCUCUCUUAUUUCCAAUUCUUUGAUUAUUAAUGUUAUGCGUGAACAUCAUUAUGUUGUUUUCUAACUUUUUGUCCCUCCGGAUUUUGAAGGUUGCUUUUAGAUAAAUAUGAUCAAGAAAGUUCUGCUU